AGGUUAAGCUACAAAGAGCACACGGAGGAUGCCUAGGCGCCAGGAGCCGACGAAGGACGUGGCGAACAACGAUAAGGCCUCGGGGAGCUGUAAGCAAGCUUUGAUCCGGGGAUGUCCGAAUGGGGAAACCCGGCUGUCUUCAUCGACAGUCACUUUCUGCUGAAUACAUAGGCAGAAUAGAGGCAGACCAGGGGAACUGAAAC
rnacentral:rRNA from 1 species